UUAUGGCCAUAUCACAUUGAAACACAGGUUCCCAUAUAAUCACCAAAAUUAAGCAACAUCAAGCCUGAUCAGUACCUAGAUGGGUGAUCACUUAGGAAUACCAGCUGC